rnacentral:tRNA from 1 species
GCCUUCGUGGUGUAAUGGUUAGCACACUCGGUGCGUAUUCAACAGGUCCAGGUUCAAGUCCCGGCGAGGGCA